rnacentral:lncRNA from 1 species
GAAAAAAACAGCGCAGAGUCGCAGACCUCGUGAGUCAGUAUCGCGAGAUCUCCGUCCCUGCCCCUCAGUGAAAAUGGCGCCCGUUAGCCCCAUUAUCCCUCGUUACAAAAAUAUCCACAGCGGAAUAUUGUAACAAAAAAAGAUUUGUAUAAUGGACAGCGCCACGGACUGUAACAGUCCAGUGGAACAACAACCAGAGGCGCCCGAGUCUGAUCAAAGCACCAAACCCAGUCUAGCUCAGGUUAAAAAGUCCUGGGGUUUUAGGCGAUCGACGAUUGCCAGGAGAGAGUUCAUGGAGGAAGUGAGCGAUUUAGUCACCAGUCCACCUCUUGUACGAAAAGGUAGAGGGCGCAGAAGCAAAACACCGUCACAACAAACCACACCUGUUGCUACUGACAACCAAAAGGCGACAUGUUCAGCCAGAAGUGUGCUGGAUGAUUUGGAGUGGUCUGCUCCCUCUUCGCCCGUGAAAGAGGAGAGCAAAGAGACCACUGAAGCGUCUGCAGAGGGGAGCAUGGACCCCAGUAUGUGGCAAAACUUCGGCUCCGCCUUCCAUAAGGCUUUUGCGUUGCUUGGGGGCACAGAUGGUUCACUAAUGGACAUCGGGGACUUGGUUGCAACUCCUAAUCCUACCGAAGAUAGUGAUGGCUCAGAAGCGCCCCUUCCAGAGUUGCUUGAUGAUAACGAACUUCCCUCGCAAUUGGUUGAUGAUUCUGAUGAUUUAAACCUUCCCCUUGAGGCAAAAAUUGAGGAUGAUAUUGUCUCAAUAUCUAGCGGGGAAGUCAAUUUUGAUGAAAUGGCUCUGUUAGAUGUUAAGCAAAAACAAGAGGAAGAUUUGGAAAUACAGAGUAACACUAGAGGUGCAAAGGGUGGGAAGGGG